GAUGGAACAGUUUUCCUGAAUGGGCAUCAUAUGAGAAAAUUGAAGGAGGAAUUUGGUGAGAAACACUAGUAAUUCUUUCUUUUUUAAAAUAGUUUGAGUGGAUUGGGAGCACUCAAUUCUAUGACCUUAUUACUUGAGUAGCAUAUCUUUAAUUUGAGGUUUUUAUGUGCUUCAAUGACUGGAAAAGCCUACCACCUAGUAUGAUGUGUAAAUUUAAUGAACCUUAUCCUUAGAUGGAUAAGUGCAUGGCUAAUGGCAUUUUUCAGCCCAUUUUCUGUUGAAACACUGCAUUGGCUUUGGCUGCUAAUUACUUCUUGCUGGAGGGACUCUUUACAUUUUGAUCUUCAUCCAUUUUGCAUAUCAAAUAGAUGUGCAAUGCUGUUAUGAAUAGUAAACUUUAUUUGUGUAAAAGUAUGUAAAUCUUGCUCUCUCACUGUUUGCUCUUUCUUUAUAUUCUAGUGUUGAAUUAUGAUGUGUUAUAUAAUAUGUACAUUUUUGUUGAUAAUGCUGAAUCA
rnacentral:misc_RNA from 1 species